AGAGCUAGUCAAGCUCCAGCUCAGUCGCUAGCUGAUAUUGGUGGAGUACCAUCUUUGAGGGGCAUCCGGAAAGAUGAGAAGACAUUUUCCUAGCAUUUUUUCCUGCCCGCCCCAUUCUAUUGCCCAGCGAUCUCUUCCAUUUGGUCCUCUGAAUCGCAUUCAUAUCCUGCCUUCUCAGCCUGCCUGCAUUCAGGCUUGUCACCAGGCCAACCCUCUUUCUGCCUUCUGCCCUAUCUCCUUUCCCCCUCUGAAGAAUACUUCAUUCUAUCCUACCUUAGUGAUCUCCAUGCCCAGCUCUUCCUGUCUUACUAAACUUUCGUUGAAGCACCAUGUUCCCUUUGAACCUCCUGCCCAUUUUACCUCUAAGAAAAGAUCUCCUCCUACCAGUUCUCUAUCCUUUAGCCCUCACCAAAAACCUAGCCACUUUUAGGCACACAGUUGCUUUAAGAAGAACCAUUCUCACGACUGGACCGACACUCAAGGAAAUGGACAAAUUACAGGGCCCAUGGUGAACAACAUCAGGACUGCAGGAUUUCUGAGGAACUACAAUAUCCCAAAUGACAUCACUGUCUAAAAAGCUAAAAUACUGACACGUAGAGAACAUUACAAAUAGUCUAUCUUUGAGUAUCCCUUUUUUUGGUGUGUUGAAUAAAAAGUGAACAGUGUCCACAGAAA